UACGUAGGGGCAGCAGUCGUUCGGAUUCGAUUGUGGCGUAAAGAGCGUGUAGGCGGCCAGAUAGGUCCGUUGUGAAAACUCGAGGCUCAACCUCGAGACGCCGAUGGAAACCAUUUGGCUAGAGUCCGGAAGAGGAGAGUGGAAUUCCUGGUGUAGCGGUGAAAUGCGCAGAUAUCAGGAAGAACACCCGUGGCUAAGGCGGCUCUCUAGUACGGUACUGACGCUGAGACGCGAAAGCGUGGGGAGCGAACAGG
rnacentral:rRNA from 1 species